UGCAAGUCGAGGGGUAUAGUAGCAAUACUAGAGACCGGCGCACGGGUGCGUAACGCGUAUGCAAUCUACCUUUUACAGAGGGAUAGCCCAGAGAAAUUUGGAUUAAUACCUCAUAGUAUAUCGUUUGGGCAUCCUAACGAUAUUAAAGUUCCAACGGUAAAAGAUGAGCAUGCGUCCUAUUAGCUAGAUGGUAAGGUAACGGCUUACCAUGGCUACGAUAGGUAGGGGUCCUGAGAGGGAGAUCCCCCACACUGGUACUGAGACACGGACCAGACUCCUACGGGAGGCAGCAGUGAGGAAUAUUGGACAAUGGGCGCAAGCCUGAUCCAGCCAUGCCGCGUGCAGGAAGAAGCAUCUAUGGUGUGUAAACUGCUUUUGUACGGGAAGAAACACUCCCUCGUGAGGGAGCUUGACGGUGCCGUAAGAAUAAGGAUCGGCUAACUCCGUGCCAGCAGCCGCGGUAAUACGGAGGAUCCAAGCGUUAUCCGGAAUCAUUGGGUUUAAAGGGUCCGUAGGCGGUUUGGUAAGUCAGUGGUGAAAGCCCAUCGCUUAACGAUGGAGCGGCCAUUGAUACUGCCGGACUUGAAUUACAAGGAAGUAACUAGAAUAUGUAGUGUAGCGGUGAAAUGCAUAGAUAUUACAUGGAAUACCAAUUGCGAAGGCAGGUUACUACUUGUUGAUUGACGCUGAUGGACGAAAG
rnacentral:rRNA from 1 species